rnacentral:misc_RNA from 1 species
GAUGAAGAACGUAGCGAAAUGCGAUAAGUAAUGUGAAUUGCAGAAUUCAGUGAAUCAUCGAAUCUUUGAACGCACAUUGCGCCCGCCAGUAUUCUGGCGGGCAUGCCUGUUCGAGCGUCAUUUCAACCAUCAAGCCCCCCGGCUUGUGUUGGGGACCUGCGGCUGCCGCAGGCCCUGAAAAGCAGUGGCGGGCUCGCUGUCACACCGAGCGUAGUAGAUCUCAUCUCGCUCAGGGCGUGCUGCGGGUUCCGGCCGUUAAACCACCUUCAUAACCCAAGGUUGACCUCGGAUCAGGUAGGAAUACCCGCUGAACUUAAGCAUAUCAAUAAGCGGAGGA